CGCAGGUCACUGCGCGGUCUCAAACACCGCUGGGGUAACACCCGUGGGGGUUCGACUCCCCCCAUCCCCA
rnacentral:tRNA from 1 species